GAUGAACGCUGGCGGCGUGCCUAAUACAUGCAAGUCGAGCGAAUGGAUUAAGAGCUUGCUCUUAUGAAGUUAGCGGCGGACGGGUGAGUAACACGUGGGUAACCUGCCCAUAAGACUGGGAUAACUCCGGGAAACCGUGGCUAAUACCGGAUAAUAUUUUGAACUGCAUGGUUCAAAAUUGAAAGGCGGCUUCGGCUGUCACUUAUGGAUGGACCCGCGUCGCAUUAGCUAGUUGGUGAGGUAACGGCUCACCAAGGCAACGAUGCGUAGCCGACCUGGGAGGGUGAUCAGCCACACGGGGACUGAGACACGGCCAAGACUCCUACGGGAGGCAGCAGUAGGGAAUCUUCCGCAAUGGACGAAAGUCUGACGGAGCAACGCCGCGUGAGUGAUGAGGGCUUUCGGGUCGUAAAACUCUGUUGUUAGUGAAGAACAAGUGCUAGUUGAAUAAGCUGGCACCUUGACGGUACCUAACCAGAAAGCCACGGCUAACUACGUGCCAGCAGCCGCGGUAA
rnacentral:rRNA from 1 species